AUUGAACGCUGGCGGCAUGCCUAACACAUGCAAGUCGAGCGAGCGGCGGACGGUUGCGUAAUGUCUGGGAAACUGCCUGAUGCAGGGGGAUAACUACUGGAAACCGUAGCUAAUACCGCAUUCCAUCAGGUGUUCUCCGAUGGGAUUAGCUAGUAGGUGGGGUAACGGCUCACCUAGGCGACGAGCCCUAGCUGGUCUGAGAGGAUGACCAGCCACACUGGAACUGAGACACGGUCCAGACUCCUACGGGAGGCAGCAGUGGGGAAUAUUGCACAAUGGGCGCAAGCCUGAUGCAGCCAUGCCGCGUGUGUGAAGAAGGCCUUCGGGUUGUAAAGCACUGUCAGCGGGGAGGCGUUACCCGAAGAAGAAGCACCGGCUAACUCCGUGCCAGCAGCCGCGGUAAUAC
rnacentral:rRNA from 1 species